CCCAGAAAUCGACGCCGGUUAUAAAAUUCGUAAACACGUCGCACGAAAACAAGGUCGCAUCAGCGCGCUAUCAUUCGAGCGUGACGCAGGACUUGGAUCGGUCGACAGUGGUGCCGCGUCACUGCGUCGUAUUAUUUUUUCAAACGUUGGCAAGUACUGACAAACGAACGAGAUUCCUUACGAACGAUUAGAGAUUAAAAUCGCGACUAAUUCGUUUCUCGAGUGUACCAAGAUUAAUGGCGUAUCGACGCGACGAUUUUUAUGUACUUUCGAAGUGGAUAUUCGACAUCGCUACCCGUCGCAUCGUUAAAUACGCACGAGAUUAAGUUAGUUCAACGCCUUAACGUAAGAAUACGAUCUCUUAUCGAGGCCUGCAUGGGAAUUUGGGAGAUGUACGUUCCGAUUUGUGUCGUGUCUUUGUGUUGUGUCUUAAAUAAGUAUGUAACGGCAACGGGAAAAUUUCGGUAUUCGGUAUAACCGUCGCACUCCUGCGUCGUAUUUAUUCUUUAAAGUCGUUACGGCAAGUAUCGGGAAGCGGAGACUUUUUACAAAUUAGAGGUUAUAAUCGCGAUUAAUGACUAAAAGACUUCUUAAGAGCUAUUCGAUUUAUAUUCUAGUUCAAGUUAGUGAUCGCACUUUCGAUGUACGAUAAUGUAGGAUCUUAGGAUUUUAUUGAGUGCCAACGUACUUAUUGAUUCGAAUUAUGUCGACGGAAUAUGGGUAUUUUAUCUUGGGGGGGAGGGAAGGUUUUAUAUAAAUGGGAAUAUCGUGUACCGCGCAAAAAUUGUUACUGAUAAUUAGCCACGAGUGUUUCUCGGGAGUGUUGUGCAAGUGUAAGUUAAGAAGAUUUGACAACCUAGAAGGAAGUGCCUGAUAAUUUGAGAGGAGGUGGAGGCCUUGGAGAGGCGUCGGGCAUCGACGAGUUUUUGUUUGCGAUUUCAACGUAGUCAACGUAGCAGAUAACUCCGCUGUUGCGCAUCGGUCGGUUCUUAUAGUAAAUUCUCGUGAAUUCUUUGGAGAAACUCUACACGGGAAUUACUGGAUCGUCCAUCCAUAAGUUAGGACAGCAAAGUAACGAACGGAUUAAUUCUUACACUGAUGAUCUUUCGUGUAAAACGGAGACAAUACAUCAAGAUAACUUGUAAGUUUAACCGUAAACGAACGUCAUAUUUUGUUCCUGCUAUCGAAACUACCCGGACAUUAUUUUGGAUGGUGCAGCCUCUGUCGUUGUCCAGCGGUACAAAAGGACAGCCGGCGUGGGAGAAGCUGCGGCUUGUGCAACAUAAAUAGAGAUACCAAGUGAGAAGGGUGCAACGAAGGUGCGACUACGACUGUGCCGACAACAGAUGGCUACGUUCAGUUCUGCCGAUGGACCAUAUUACGACCUGCUAUUAUCGACCGACCGAACAAAAUAAUUGAUCACCGAAGCCUUCGGACAGAAACGCCGGCGCGUGAAUGUAAGGGAUGAUGAAAUAUCCAGCUACGCAUUGUUAAGUCAUUGCUGAAAAUCUACCGCGCAGUGUAUUUAUCGUCCAUUAAUCGUGGAACGUCAACAGUUUGUCCACACACAUCUUAAAGAUAAUAAUUAAUAUUGAGAGAAUAGACUAUUUCGGAUAAAGAAUUAAAUGAUUUUUAUGCUGACCCGUCUUGCUGUGAUGGACGAUUAUCGUAAUUGAAGGACGAUGUUCGAUAAAAUGCAACAGCAGUGUAAGCAAAAAGCGAGACGAACUCGUGAGUAAUCCGGAAUACGAAAAAGUUUACUGGUUAUAGCAGUGGAGCACCUGUGGCAUUCUGUACGAGGAGGUGAAGUCCAUAAGAUCGGGGUUGAACGAAAAGCUGUGAAAAAAGGGAACCUACAUCUCAAGUGAUCUUUCCUAUCCUUCGUCAGUUGGCGACACCGUGCAAUCCUCAAUAUCUACAACCACCCAACAGGUGGCAGCACGCCCUAGAAUGUCAAGUAUUCAUCUUUCGAGGAAUUCCGCCUUCGUGUAUGCACACCCAAAGUACGAGCUAAAGUUCAAAUGGCCAUGCACUUAACGGGCGAAACGGGGCAGUGGGUGCACCGCGGGAUAAUUCGAUCUUAUCGCGUGUUGAACAAGCCGCCCGCUGGGAAAUCGACCGUACGGGUCGUUAAAAAUCAAGAGAUUGCGACAAACCGUGCAAACACGCUGUGGAAAUGGCCCAACAAAGGAAACCAAAAAUAAAACAAUCGAAAACUUUAUAAUAUAGAAGAUAAAUAUCCGACAUCCUGCUUAACGGAUCUUCUGAAUCAACUUUGGAGAGAAUACUGUAAUCGUUUACGUACGUGAUUGCUGAUGUGGGAAGAUAUUCGGCAGAUGGGAAUGAUGGAAAUAAGGGUGCAAAGAGGAUAUUGAUCGUCCUUGUACUCCUUAAAGGCACGAUAGAGCAGUGCCCUUGAAACUAGCCUACCGUUCUAAAGCGGCACAAUGUGACGAUAUAGCAUAACGUACAGCAGCGAUGUCGUUUCCAUGGCAAUGCAUCGAUGGGUCUGGGAACGUGCUAACUUUCGCGCAUGCACAGUGUACAUGGGACGCAUGCCACAGCAUUAAAACACAGGUUGAGGUAACAUUUGAUGGAAUAAUUGAACAACUAUACAGAACCCUCAAGAAGACAUCGGAUUUCCAUUAAAUUAAUUAGUUAAAUUAAUUGAUAUUAUCAAAUAUCAUAUUGCAAAAGCGUAAAAUUGUAGUUAAUUUGAAUGAUAAGAUAUAAAUUGAUCAGAUUACAAAUCA